UACGGGGGGGGCAAGCGUUGUUCGGAAUUACUGGGCGUAAAGGGCUCGUAGGUGGCCAACUAAGUCAGACGUGAAAUCCCCCGGCUUAACCGGGGAACUGCGUCUGAUACUGGAUGGCUUGAGUUCGGGAGAGGGAUGCGGAAUUCCAGGUGUAGCGGUGAAAUGCGUAGAUAUCUGGAGGAACACCGGUGGCGAAGGCGGCACCCUGGACCGACACUGACGCUGAGGAGCGAAAGCCAGGGGAGCAAACGGG
rnacentral:rRNA from 1 species